rnacentral:tRNA from 1 species
GCUCCCGUAGCCCAACUGGCAGAGGCCGACGGCUUAAACCCGUCGUAGGUGUGGGUUCGAGUCCCACCGGGGGCA